UGUGGGAGCGAGCCUGCUCGCGAUGACGUCGGCACAUUCGACACAUGCAUCGGCCGACAGAUCGCUAUCGCGAGCAGGCUCGCUCCCACA
rnacentral:misc_RNA from 1 species